rnacentral:misc_RNA from 1 species
GUGUCAACGAUAUCCAAGAAUGGUGAAUGGACAUAACAAAAUGUGAGGUUCCAUAAUCCAUAUUGGAAAAUAAGUAGAAAGGUGGAAAGAGGAAAAACAUAUGUCUAUGCCCCUGAAUUUUAAGAGGAAAACCUAUUCAGUCCCUCACCUUUUAUUUUGAUCUAUUGAGUCAUAGUAUUACUAAAUACUAAUAUUUCAUAAACAAUUAAAUACAAGUUAAAGAAAUUACCAUUUUGUGACGGUAACAAGGAAAAUAUAGUCAAGGUGAACACAAACACCAAAUGGUUGAAGACACAAAAGAAGUAGAGGCAUGAACACCUGCUUCUAGAUUAGCUUCCAUUGAAAUUGAGUUGGAAAAAAUUGAGCUCAAAAGAAGCAUCCAAAAAAUAAAUACCAAAUUGUUGAAGACACAAAAGGAGAAGUUAAUGAAAGCUUUGGGUACUAUUUUGCUUCCUAAUCAUAUUUGGUUAAAACUCUAAUUAUCUAGAUGAGUUUCUACAACCUAGCUUGCAAAUGAAGCUAAAAUUGUUCCUUAUCAUCUAAAAUAAGAAUAUAGAAAGAGGCCAUCUCUAUUCUAGGUUAGACCCUUAAACUUUGGUAUGGGUAAAAUUUUUGUGAUGGAUACUUUCUCUCCUCAUGUUUUGGUGCUUUUGCUAGAAAUGCUUUCAAUCUUGUAGAUUAAUUUUUUAUCCCUCACUUGUUGAUAGUCCUUUGUACUUCAAUUGCACUCCCUUGUUGCCCUCUAGUGCAGUUUUUCAAUAACAAAAAAAA